ensembl:ncRNA F17H10.7 ncRNA
GAAAUGCAAUGUGUUCUCUGAUAAAUUUGAUGAAGAAUUGGGAUGCUAAGUUGAAGUUUGUGAAGCAAAAGUUAUGAUGUAGUUAUAGCUGUGUAGUUAUAUUAAAUGAUGAUAAUUUGGUUUCACUGAAAUAGUAAAUUUCAAAAG